CCCUUAGACGUUCUGGGCCGCACGCGCGCUACACAGACACAGGCAACGAGCUUUCCUUUACCGAAAGGUAUGGGUAAUCUUUUGAAACUGUGUCGUGCUGGGGAUAGAUCCUUGCAAUUUUUGAUCUUAAACGAGGAAUUCCUAGUAAGCGCGAGUCAUCAACUCGCGUUGAUUACGUCCCUGCCCUUUGUACACACCGCCCGUCGCUACUACCGAUUGAAUGGCUUAGUGAGGCCUCAGGAUCCGCGCUUAAUGUGUGGAGAAUUUGGACAAACUACGUCAUUUAGAGGAAGUAAAAGUCGUAACA
rnacentral:rRNA from 1 species